rnacentral:rRNA from 1 species
GAAACUAACAAGGAUUCCCCUAGUAACGGCGAGUGAAGCGGGAAGAGCUCAAAUUUGAAAUCUAGUAGCCUUCGGCUGCUCGAGUUGUAAUCUAGAGAAGUGUUUUCCGUGCCGGCCCAUGUACAAGUCCCUUGGAACAGGGCGUCAUAGAGGGUGAGAAUCCCGUCCUUGACAUGGACCCCCGGUGCUCUGUGAUACACUUUCAACGAGUCGAGUUGUUUGGGAAUGCAGCUCAAAAUGGGUGGUGAAUUCCAUCUAAAGCUAAAUAUUGGCGAGAGACCGAUAGCGAACAAGUACCGUGAGGGAAAGAUGAAAAGCACUUUGGAAAGAGAGUUAAACAGUACGUGAAAUUGUUGAAAGGGAAACGAUUGAAGUCAGUCAUGCUCUUUGGUAUUUAUAUCAUUGAGUGGGGUCAACAUCAGUUUUGAGCGAUGGAUAAAGGCACUAGGAAGGUAGCACUCUCGGGUGAACUUAUAGCCUAGCGUCAUAUACAUUGUUUGGGACUGAGGAACGCAGCAUGCCUUUAUGGCCGGGAUUCGUCCACGUACAUGCUUAGGAUGUUGACAUAAUGGCUUUAAACGACCCGUCUUGAAACACGGACCAAGGAGUCUAACAUAUCUGCGAGU